rnacentral:rRNA from 1 species
AGUGAACGCUGGCGGUAGGCCUAACACAUGCAAGUCGAACGGCAGCACAGUAAGAGCUUGCUCUUACGGGUGGCGAGUGGCGGACGGGUGAGGAAUACAUCGGAAUCUACUUUUUCGUGGGGGAUAACGUAGGGAAACUUACGCUAAUACCGCAUACGACCUACGGGUUAAAGCAGGGGAUCUUCGGACCUUGCGCGAUUGAAUGAGCCGAUGUCGGAUUAGCUAGUUGGGGGGGUAAAGGCCCACCAAGGCGACGAUCCGUAGCUGGUCUGAGAGGAUGAUCAGCCACACUGGAACUGAGAACCGGUCCAGACUCCUACGGGAGGCAGAAGUGGGGAAUAUUGGACAAUGGGCGCAAGCCUGAUCCAGCCAUACCGCGUGGGUGAAGAAGGCCUUCGGGUUGUAAAGCCCUUUUGUUGGGAAAGAAAAGCAGCAGGUUAAUACCCCGCUGUUCUGACGGUACCCAAAGAAUAAGCACCGGCUAACUUCGUG